rnacentral:rRNA from 1 species
AUUGAACGCUGGCGGCAGGCCUAACACAUGCAAGUCGAGCGAGCGGCGGACGGGUGAGUAAUGUCUGGGAAACUGCCUGUUGGAGGGGGCUACCUACUGGAAACGGUAGCUAAUACCGCAUCCCAUCAGAUGUGCCCAGAUGGGCUUAGCUAGUAGGUGGGGUAACGGCGCACCAAGGCGACGAUCCCUCGCUGGUCUGAGAGGAUGAUCAGCCACACUGGAACUGAGACACGGUCCAGACUCCGACGGGAGGCAGCAGUGGGGAAUAUUGCACAAGGGGCGCAAGCCUGAUGCAGCCAUGCCGCGUGUGUGAAGAAGGCCUUCGGGUUGUAAAGCACUUUCAGCGGGGAGGCGUUACCCGCAGAAGAAGCACCGGCUAACUCCGUGCCAGCAGCCGCGGUAAUUC